rnacentral:rRNA from 1 species
GUCAGCGACCAUACCACGUAGAAACCACCGAUUCUCGUCCGAUCACCAAAGUUAAACUCCGUCGGGCCGGGUUGGUACUUGCAUCAGUGACCAGCUGGGAAUACUCUUUAUUGCUGACU